CUACCCUUUAGCCCUUACAAAUAUACAUGUAUGUAUUUAUUUUUAUUGUCAUAGAGAAGUAACACGUGAGACUAGACUGUCAUUGCGGAUAUAUCGAAUUUUUUCGAGGCAAAGUCGAGGUCACGUGAUUCUUUCCCUCGUUUUUUUUAUCCUUCCUGAAAUGUGUCAGUAUACUCCAUAAAUCGAUGCUUUUCUGUUAUAAUCGAAGCAGAUGAAGAGGUAUAAGAAAUUGAAACAGACAAAAUCGUUUUCAUCAAUAUUUCUCUUUAUUGCAGAAUAACUUUGAGGACAGAAAUAAAAUAUUCUUGAGAGAACGAUGGUCGGUCAUUUGAGAAUACCUCACUGUUUAGUGAAGAAGCCUUUUACAGUCAGUAUAGGAAAGUUGGAUUUUUAUUCUUUGAAGACGGUCAAGAAGGAAUAUUCGGGUAUCCGGAACGUUUUUCUCUUUUAUGUGGGUUACCCAGCAAGUCACUAAAAGCUCUCGUAAAUAUGGCAUGCAUCGAUUUAAAUAUUAAACGUAGGCUCGUGAGCGCCAUGUAAAACGAGCCUGACCAGUUACGCAACUUAGCUACUGUUUCGGCCUGAUUAAAAUCGGAUUCUCCACUUGGAGUCGCGACGAGUUACGAACAGGUGGUUAGCGUCAUCGGUGGUCGACGUAAAUGGGGCUCAAAGGCCGCGCACAUGCGUUUUGGUCACAGAGGGUGCAAUCGAUCAGUCGCAAUCGAUGCCGCAAGGUCAUUGGCUGCAAGAUGACAUCUUUUGACUAAAUACAACUUUAAUAUCUUUCUUCAAUUUUUAUC
rnacentral:lncRNA from 1 species